UUCUACCUCUCCCUGCUCUGACCAGCCAGACUUUGCCCUUUUCCAGUUUCCUCCACAGCCAACAGAGCCACACUUCCACUCCCUGUCAGCUGUUCAUCUUUCCUCCUUAGAUUCAGACUCCGAAAGGAGCAUGACAGAUCACUAAAUGAACUGUUGUAAGUUGAGGAAUAUCUGUAUA